rnacentral:rRNA from 1 species
AGUCGACGAAACUUCUUUAUCACCGAGUGCUUGCACUCACCGAUAAAGAGUUGAGUGGCGAACGGGUGAGUAACACGUGGGCAACCUGCCCAAAAGAGGGGGAUAACACUUGGAAACAGGUGCUAAUACCGCAUAACCAUAGUUACCGCAUGGUAACUAUGUAAAAGGUGGCUAUGCUACCGCUUUUGGAUGGGCCCGCGGCGCAUUAGCUAGUUGGUGGGGUAAAGGCUUACCAAGGCAAUGAUGCGUAGCCGAACUGAGAGGUUGAUCGGCCACAUUGGGACUGAGACACGGCCCAAACUCCUACGGGAGGCAGCAGUAGGGAAUCUUCCACAAUGGGCGAAAGCCUGAUGGAGCAACGCCGCGUGGGUGAAGAAGGUCUUCGGAUCGUAAAACCCUGUUGUUAGAGAAGAAAGUGCGUGAGAGUAACUGUUCACGUUUCGACGGUAUCUAACCAGAAAGCCACGGCUAACUACGUGCCAGCAGCCGCGGUAAUACGUAGGUGGCAAGCGUUAUCCGGAUUUAUUGGGCGUAAAGGGAACGCAGGCGGUCCUUUAAGUCUGAUGUGAAAGCCUUCGGCUUAACCGGAGUAGUGCAUUGGAAACUGGGAGACUUGAGUGCAGAAGAGGAGAGUGGAACUCCAUGUGUAGCGGUGAAAUGCGCAGAUAUAUGGAAGAACACCAGUGGCGAAAGCGGCUCUCUGGUCUGUAACUGACGCUGAGGUUCGAAAGCGUGGGUAGCAAACAGGAUUAGAUACCCUGGUAGUCCACGCCGUAAACGAUGAAUGCUAAGUGUUGGAGGGUUUCCGCCCUUCAGUGCUGCA